AGGAGCUGAGCUGGAGGUAAAGCCAGUGCCCACCACCCAGACCCACACCUCCCCAACCCCAAGGGAGAAAGGUAAUUUACUUAGGCAAGAGCCAGGUGAGCUACUGGAUCAGUGUUAAAACUCCAAGCAGCCCCUGCAUAGUGGAUAGCUUGUAGGUGAAGAUGGAGAAUGGGAAGAAGGCCCACCUCUCCCUCAAUAGGCAGCUCCUUCCCACUUUUGGGAUGGAGAAUAGCUGCGGUUGAGUUUGGCUUGGGAGGCUCAGUGAGUUAGUUAGGACCCCACCCCACAUAAUUCAGAGUGUGUGAGGCUGGGUGCAGUGGCUUACGCCUGUAAUCCCAGUACUUUGGGAGGCCAAGGUGGGAGGAUCGCUUGAGGCCAGGAGUUUGAGACCAGCCUGGGAAACACAGGGAGACCCCCUCCUCUGCCCCAUCUCUACAAAAAAAAAUUUUUUUUUUUUAAUUAGCCGGACUUGGUGGCCUGUGCCCAUUAUCCCAGCUACUUGGGAGGCUGAAGGGGGAGGGAUUGCUUGAGCCUGGAAGGCUGAGGCUGCUGUGAGCUGUGUGGUUGGACCACUGCACUCUAGCCCAGGCAACAAAGCAAGACCCUGUCUCAAAAAAAAAAAAUAAUAAUAAUAAUUAAUGAAAUUUAAAAAAUACAAAAACAAACAAACAAACAAAAAACAACCCACACAUUGUUGUGUGAGAGCAGGCCCGGGACAGUUUUCCAGCUCCCAAGGUGUGCACCCUGGUCGGUAAGCCCUGGAUUUGUUAUGUGAUCUUGGGAAACUCAUUUGGCCUCCCUGGUCCUCCGUUGGUUUCCUUAAUAGAAAGUUAAGGGGUUGCACUAGGUCAGUGGUUCUACAUAUUCCUCCCUAACAACCUCUGACUCCACAAAGGUAACCCUAGGCAAGCCAUGGAGGGGAAGGGUCCCAGUGAGGGGCCUUAGAGACUAGGAGGAGAGGUGCCUUGGGGGACAAACGAGAGGGCCCCUUGGAAAAGGAAGGACACUGGCCUCUGGACAUUUCAUGCUGAUGGGAUUCUGCAGCAUGGCUGCCCUUUAGAAGUGAAGAGCUUUGGCCAGGCUCACACCUGUAGUCCCAGCACUUUGGGAGGCUGAGGCAGGAGGAUUGCUUGAGCCUAGGAGUUUGAGACCAGCCUGGGCAACAUAGUGAGACCCCAUCGAUAUUUUUUUAAAAAGAAAUGUGGAGCUUUGUAAAAUCAGAAUUGCUUUCCCCAGACCUACUGAUUCAGAGUCUUGCAGGGAUAGAGACUGGAACUUGGACUUUCAGAAAGCUCUCCAGGACAUUCUAAAGCAGCAGAGAUUGUGCCUGUGAAUAGCCACUGCACUCUAGCCUGGACAACAUAGUGAGACCCCAUCUCUGUAGAAGAGGGAGAAGGAGAAAUAAAGUAGCAGGGGCUGGAGAUCUAAGAUCUGGGCCCACUCAAGGUCAAGGUGCUGCUGACCACCUCUUUCCCAGUUGCCCCCUGGCCACAGUGGAGAUGCCCAUUCCAGGAGGCAGCCCCCACCUCAAAAGAAAGGAAAAGAACAGAAAAGAAAAGAAGAACAAUGGGGUCCAGACUUCAGCAGGUCCUCCAAGAGCAGCCGACCUCCUGCUUCCAGGUGUUCCAAGUGCAUCAGUUCACACACAUCUGUUGCCAGAGCCACAAGUCUAUCGAGAUCCUGAGUGGAAAUAUCUCCAUCAUUUAGCUGGUGACAGAGGCAAUACCAAGAACAGUGUACUUACAAUCGCUAGAGAAAAACAUUGAAUGGAUUUUGAAUAGCUGCAGAACGGCUCACACAGUGCACACAAAUUCAUUAUCAGACUUGGCUCCACUCCUUUCAGGCGUGCCUCAGGCAUGAUAGGUUUCUGAAAUUUGCAUUCCUAAAUGGAGGAUGCUGAUGCAGAAAGCAGGCAGCCGAGAUGGGAUUGGAGGAGGGAAAGAUUCACAAGUGAGUUGGGUGGCGGUUGCUAGGAAAAGAACAAUGUUGGUUGGAACUGUUGAGUUACAAUGACAGAGUCCCAACUCUUGGCGGUUGAAGGAGAAAAGGAGAUUUACUGGCGUCAUGGAAGAGCUCAGAGUGACUCUGUGUCUUACAGAGUCUCUCUGCAGCCCCUGGUUCUGCUUUCCUCUGUGAGAACUUCCGUCUUGGCCAGGCCCUCACAAAGUGGCAACACAGGUGGCCACCAAUGGUUCCGGCUUAGCUACUGCAGGGAAAGAAUUCUUCUUUGUCCCAGAAGAGCCAGCCAAAGUCUGAGGGUGGACUCUCAGGGGCAGGCUUGUGACAUCUGGACAUCCCUGAACAGAGCACAGUGGCCAGGCCUGGAGCCGAACCAUGAGGUGUGCCUCACUCAGACCGCAGAAACUGACAUGACAGAGUGGCUUCU
rnacentral:lncRNA from 1 species